AUGGAGUUAAAUGGUCCUCCAUUUGGUCAACCUACACCUUCAGCACAAGUGCCCACACAAGAUGAUUUUGAUGAUAUAGACAAGCUCACAUUGCUUAGUCUCCAGUUCAAUUGGAGUGCGGAAGAUGAUCCUAUUAGGAAGGUGAUACUAGAUGAAAUGAAGAAGAUCAAGAGUGGGAAGGAGAUAAUGGAAGUAGUAAGGAAGAUCGAGAAGAAUAUCGAUGAUGGCUGCACUAUUUCAUCCCUGCUUGAGCGGAGUGUUUCUGUGAUUUCCAAUGAUACUUGUGAGGUUCCAAUGCCUUCACAUCCAGAUGAGGAAGAUAGAAAGAGCUUUGAGGAAGAGAUACAUCAGAUUGAAGAAGAUGUACUCGAAGACAAGGAACAAGAUGAUCCAGAGCUCGAACACCCAUGUGAUCAAGUUGAAGAACCAUCAUCUAUUACCAUUGAAGAAAUAAAGGAAGUUGUUGUAUUAAAGAUGAAGAAUUACAUAUUCGAUUGCCCGUUGUCAUCCAAGAGCGCGAUAUUGUAG
rnacentral:rRNA from 1 species